rnacentral:ncRNA from 1 species
GGUUAUGUCUACUGCACCGUUAUCACGUGUAGGCACUCGAUUAUACUGUGGGCGGCAUCAGCCUUAGACGUAUAUCGUCGCUGGUAUAGUGUGAGGGAGGGUUAGAUGCCC